GCCUGAGGAAGCCAUCUGGACAGAGGAAAUUCGCCUUAAACCUUGGCAAGAGAACUUUGUUCUGUUUGAACUUUGUUUAAAGCCCCAGAGUGGGUGAUCAUUUUGUUUAAACUUUCCUUAAAACAAAGAGUGGGAGAUCCCCCGCAAUUAACAACAGGAACCUUCUCCGCUCUUAGCAGACUUGAUAGGAAAAAAUGCAAGGACUGUUCUGACAUCCAUUAACAUGCCUCAGCUAGCAGGAUGGAAAGCAAGAUGCAAAGGAAGGACAUUUGGAAGUCUCCAGAGAGUUAAGGUUUUCUUGCCUCCACUUUCCUGAGUGUAGUGGUUGUGUUGUAGAUGUACCAAUUGGCCCCCUAAAGUCACUUGUUCUCGGCGUCUACUUCAAAAGGAAACGUCUCCGAUGAGGGAUGGUGUGAGCGCCUCGCUCUGCUGUAGCCUCCCUACCAUGAUCUUUUGCCUUGCCAUAGACUCACAGCAGAACCGAGUGACCAUGGACUGAAAACUCUGGAGCUAUAAACCAAAAUAAAUUCUUUAUUUAGGUUGGUUUUAGGUUGGUAUUCUCAAGUGAUUUGUUACAGCAAUGGAAAGUGGACAAACACAGGUAUUAAAACUGGAAAAGGACUGUUCAUCUGCUCUAGGCUUCUUCAGUUGAAGAGAAUUUACUAUUUGUCUGGCUUAGCACACAGAUGAAAGACUGCAGGGUGGAGUUCCCAGGAGAAAACACUUCUCUUUGAUAUGACUGUUCUUGUCUGAAAUAACCUCACUGAAGUACCUGUCUCAUUCCCUCUCACCCAAUG